rnacentral:rRNA from 1 species
UACGUAGGUGACCAGCGUUGUCCGGAUUUACUGGGCGUAAAGAGCUCGUAGGCGGUCUGUCGCGUCUGCUGUGAAAACUCAGGGCUUAACCCUGAGCUUGCAGUGGGUACGGGCAGACUAGAGUGCGGUAGGGGAGACUGGAAUUCCUGGUGUAGCGGUGAAAUGCGCAGAUAUCAGGAGGAACACCGGUGGCGAAGGCGGGUCUCUGGGCCGAUACUGACGCUGAGGAGCGAAAGCGUGGGGAGCGAACAGG